UGGGUGACCUGCCCUCGGCUCUGGGAUAAGCCUGGGAAACUGGGUCUAAUACUGGAUAUUCACUUCCUAUCGCAUGGUGGGUGGUGGAAAGUUUUUUCGGCUGGGGAUGGGCCCGCGGCCUAUCAGCUUGUUGGUGGGGUGAUGGCCUACCAAGGCGACGACGGGUAGCCGGCCUGAGAGGGCGUCCGGCCACACUGGGACUGAGACACGGCCCAGACUCCUACGGGA
rnacentral:rRNA from 1 species